rnacentral:rRNA from 1 species
AGUUUACUUUUUAUUGAGUCUAGCGGCGGACGGGUGAGUAACGCGUGGAUAAUCUGCCUGUAAGACAGGGAUAACGCCGGGAAACCGGUGCUAAUACCCGAUAACCUCUUUGAAUCGCAUGAUUUAAAGAGAAAAGGUGGCCUCUUUACCACUUACAGAUGGACCCGCGGCUGAUUAGCUAGUUGGUGAGGUAAUGGCUCACCAAGGCGACGAUCAGUAGCCGGCCUGAGAGGGUGACCGGCCACACUGGAACUGAGAUACGGUCCAGACUCCUACGGGAGGCAGCAGUGGGGAAUCUUCCGCAAUGGGCGAAAGCCUGACGGAGCAACGCCGCGUGAGCGAAGAAGGUCUUCGGAUUGUAAAGCUCUGUGAUAUUGGACGAACAAUUUCCCGUAAAUAAUGGGAAGGAAUGACGGUACAAUAAGAGGAAGCCACGGCUAACUACGUGCCAGCAGCCGCCGGUAAUACGUAGGUGGCAAACGUUGUCCGGAAUUACUGGGCGUAAAGGGCGAGUAGGUGGUUUAUUAAGUCAGAAGUGAAAACUCCGGGCUCAACCCUGGAAGUGCAUUUGAAACUGGAAGACUUGAGUGCAGGAGAGGAAAGUGGAAUUCCUAGUGUAGCGGUGAAAUGCGUAGAUAUUAGGAGGAACACCAGUGGCGAAGGCGGCUUUCUGGACUGUAACUGACACUGAGGCACGAAAGCGUGGGGAGCAAACAGGAUUAGAUACCCUGGUAGUCCACGCUGUAAACGAUGGAUACUAGGUGUGGGAGGUAUCGACCCCUUCCGUGCCGCAGUUAACGCAAUAAGUAUCCCGCCUGGGGAGUACGGCCGCAAGGUUGAAACUCAAAGGAAUUGACGGGGGCCCGCACAAGCAGCGGAGCAUGUGGUUUAAUUCGAAGCAACGCGAAGAACCUUACCAAGACUUGACAUGUACGGAAGGUCACGAGAGAGUGCCUCGCAAGAGGAGCCCGGUGACAGGUGGUGCAUGGUUGUCGUCAGCUCGUGUCGUGAGAUGUUGGGUUAAGUCCCGCAACGAGCGCAACCCUUAUCAUUAGUUGCUAACAGUAAGAUGAGCACUCUAAUGAGACUGCCGGGGAUAACUCGGAGGAAGGUGGGGAUGACGUCAAAUCAUCAUGCCCCUUAUGUUCUGGGCUACACACGUGCUACAAUGGGUAUAACAACGGGAAGCAAGCUAGUGAUAGCAAGCAAAUCCCUAAAAAGUACUCUCAGUUCGGAUUGUAGGCUGCAACUCGCCUACAUGAAGUUGGAGUUGCUAGUAAUCGCGAAUCAGAAUGUCGCGGUGAAUACGUUCCCGGGCCUUGUACACACCGCCCGUCACACCAUGGGAGUUGGAAGCACCCGAAGCCGGUGACUUAACCGUAAGGAGAGAGCCGUCGAAGGUGAAGCCAAUGACUGGGGUGAAGUCGUAACAAGGUAACC